rnacentral:rRNA from 1 species
CUGGCGGCAGGCCUAAUACAUGCAAGUCGAGCGCGCCCUUCGGGGUGAGCGGCGGACGGGUGAGUAACGCGUGGGAAUAUGCCCUUCUCUAAGGAAUAGCCUCUGGAAACGGAGAGUAAUACCUUAUACGCCCUUUGGGGGAAAGAUUUAUCGGAGAAGGAUUAGCCCGCGUUAGAUUAGGUAGUUGGUGGGGUAAUGGCCUACCAAGCCUACGAUCUAUAGCUGGUUUGAGAGGAUGAUCAGCCACACUGGGACUGAGACACGGCCCAGACUCCUACGGGAGGCAGCAGUAGGGAAUCUUAGACAAUGGGGGCAACCCUGAUCUAGCCAUGCCGCGUGUGUGAUGAAGGCCCUAGGGUCGUAAAGCACUUUCGCCAGAGAUGAUAAUGACAGUAUCUGGUAAAGAAACCCCGGCUAACUCCGUGCCAGCAGCCGCGGUAAUACGGAGGGGGUUAGCGUUGUUCGGAAUUACUGGGCGUAAAGCGCACGUAGGCGGAUUAGUAAGUUAGAGGUGAAAUCCCAGGGCUCAACCCUGGAACUGCCUUUAAUACUGCUAGUCUUGAGUUCGAGAGAGGUAAGUGGAAUUCCGAGUGUAGAGGUGAAAUU